rnacentral:rRNA from 1 species
CCUACGGGGGGCUGCAGUGGGGAAUAUUGGACAAUGGGCGGAAGCCUGAUCCAGCAAUUCCGCGUGGGUGAAGAAGGUCUUCGGAUUGUAAAGCCCUUUCGACAGGGACGAUGAUGACGGUACCUGUAGAAGAAGCCCCGGCUAACUUCGUGCCAGCAGCCGCGGUAAUACGAAGGGGGCUAGCGUUGCUCGGAAUUACUGGGCGUAAAGGGCGCGUAGGCGGCGCUGUUAGUCAGGCGUGAAAUUCCUGGGCUCAACCUGGGGACUGCGCUUGA